UAGGGAAUCUUCGGCAAUGGGGGGAACCCUGACCGAGCAACGCCGCGUGAGUGAAGAAGGUUUUCGGAUCGUAAAGCUCUGUUGUUAAGGAAGAACGAGAGUGAGAAUGGAAAGUUCAUACUGUGACGGUACUUAACCAGAAAGGGACGGCUAACUACGUGCCAGCAGCCGCGGUAAUACGUAGGUCCCGAGCGUUGUCCGGAUUUAUUGGGCGUAAAGCGAGCGCAGGCGGUUAGAUAAGUCUGAAGUUAAAGGCAGUGGCUCAACCAUUGUAGGCUUUGGAAACUGUUUAACUUGAGUGCAGAAGGGGAGAGUGGAAUUCCAUGUGUAACGGUGAAAUGCGUAGAUAUAUGGAGGAACACCGGUGGCGAAAGCGGCUCUCUGGUCUGUAACUGCCGCUGAGGCUCGAAAGCGUGGGGAGCGAACAGG
rnacentral:rRNA from 1 species